rnacentral:rRNA from 1 species
CUGGCGGCAGGCUUAACACAUGCAAGUCGCGGGAGAAGGUUCCUUCGGGAACUGGGCACCGGCGCACGGGUGAGUAACGCGUGGGAACGUACCCUUCGGCGGGGGACAACAGCUGGAAACGGCUGCUAAUACCGCAUACGCUCUAUGGAGGAAAGGCUUCGGCCACCGAGGGAUCGGCCCGCGUUAGAUUAGGUAGUUGGUGAGGUAAUGGCUCACCAAGCCUACGAUCUCUAGCUGGUCUGAGAGGAUGAUCAGCCACACCGGAACUGAGACACGGUCCGGACUCCUACGGGAGGCAGCAGUGGGGAAUAUUGGACAAUGGGCGCAAGCCUGAUCCAGCCAUGCCGCGUGUGUGAUGAAGGCCCUAGGGUUGUAAAGCACUUUCACCGGUGAAGAUAAUGACGGUAACCGUAGAAGAAGCCCCGGCUAACUUCGUGCCAGCAGCCGCGGUAAUACGAAGGGGGCUAGCGUUGUUCGGAAUUACUGGGCGUAAAGCGCACGUAGGCGGAUCGUUAAGUGAGGGGUGAAAUCCCAGGGCUCAACCCUGGAACUGCCUUUCAUACUGGCGAUCUUGAGUUCGAGAGAGGUGAGUGGAAUUCCGAGUG